GCAGGUGAACACUGCACGUCUCAUUGGUGCGUAAUGAUGACUGACCUUCAUGGGCUACUUGACGUGUUGUGUUGCCAAUAUGUAAUAUAGAAUGAUGAAACACGUUUGGUUGCCUUCUAGAGUGGCUUAGGAUUGCACAGAAACCGAACUUGACCGGGUAAAAAAAAAAAAUAUUCCCGAUUAGAUUUUGUUUCAAGUUGAAAGAGUUGGAAUUCAUGCAAAACACUGUAUAAUACAUGGAUCAUGUUUGAAUAUAGACAAUUGUGAGCUGGGAAUUCUGUCUGUUUUAUUUCAGACCAGAACUUUACAACCUCUGGGUAUCAGACAGAUAAAGAUCAUUGGAAUUUAUGAACAUUGAUUACAACAUGACUUAACACUCCUAGACCCAAUGACCUACAGUAGUCCUAUUUACUAUAGGCUCCUAGACCCAAUGAUCUACAGUAGUCCUAUUUACUAUAGGCUCCUAGACCCAAUGAUCUACAGUAGUCCUAUUUACUAUAGGCUCCUAGACCCAAUGAUCUACAGUAGUCCUAUUUACUAUAGGCUCCGAGACCCAAUGACCUACAGUAGUCCUAUUUACUACAGGCUCCGAGACCCAAUGACCUACAGUAGUCCUAUUUCCUGUAGGCUCCUAGACCCAAUGACCUACAGUAGUCCUAUUUACUGUAGGCUCCUAGACCCAAUGACCUACAGUAGUCCUAUUUCCUGUAGGCUCCUAGACCCAAUGACCUACAGUAGUCCUAUUUACUAUAGCCUCCUAGACCCAAUGACCUACAGUAGUCCUAUUUCCUGUAGCCUCCUAGACCCAUUGAUCUACAUUAGUUAGUUAGUGUAUGUAAAGCCUUACCCACAACAUUGGACUUUCCUUGUAGUCUGAAAUAAACAAAUCUAAAUUAUAGCAAAAUAAAACCGUACAAAAUAUAUCUCCAUUUACUUUAUUAAAGCAAAUUCCUUCACUUGUGUCUUAUUUACAACAAAUCCCACACACAGCAUUGUCGAUUCCAACUGACAGAGAGUUUUGGGGUUUCUCAUGUCUCAGUACUCAUCUCUGAGAGGUUAGGGAGAGGGUCUCAGUACUCAUCUCUGAGAGGUUAGGGAGAGGGUCUCAGUACUCAUCUCUGAGAGGUUAGGGAGAGGGUCUCAGUACUCAUCUCUGAGAGGUUAGGGAGAAGGUCUCAGUACUCAUCUCUGAGAGGUUAGGGAGAGGGUCUCAGUACUCAUCUCAGAGAGGUUAUGGAGAGGGUCUCAGUACUCAUCUCAGAGAGAAGGUCUCAGUACUCAUCUCAGAGAGAGGUUAGGGAGAGGGUCUCAGUACUCAUCUCAGAGAGGUUAGGGAGAGGGUCUCAGUACACAUCUCUGAGAGGUUAGGGAGAGGGUCUCAGUACUCAUCUCAGAGAGAGGUUAGGGAGAGGGUCUCAGUACUCAUCUCUGAGAGGUUAGGGAGAGGGUCUCAGUACUCAUCUCAGAGAAGUUAGGGAGAGGGUCUCAGUACUCAUCUCAGAGAGAAGGUCUCAGUACUCAUCUCUGAGAGGUUAGGAAGAGGGUCUUUACAUUUUUUUUAAAAUUA